ensembl:lncRNA
AUGUGUUGUAUGUGGUGUUGUAAUGUGUGCUGUGAUGGUGGCAAAGAUGGUAUUGCUGCUGAUAAAAGCAAAGGACUGUGUUUUGUAUGUUUUGUUUAUAUAAAUCUUUCUUUACCAAAGGACAGUUUUGUUUUGGAGUUUUUCUCCUUGGACGAGGGUGCAACUUCCGCAGAAGGGGUUGAGAGUUUGGAACCCAAUUGGCUGGCUAGCUGCGACACAGACAAUGGUUUGAAAUUCAAGUUUUCUUCUUCUCUGAAUAUAUUUGUUGUUGUUGUUAUUAUUAUUAUUAUUUUAUUAUGACACAGCAAACAAGAUAGAUAUGCUGGAUUUCGUUUCACAAAAUCACAAGUCGAACACUUCCCAAGUGUCUAGGACUGUGUGAUGUAUUUUCAGAUGAUGCAUGCAGAUCCCAGUAGGGUGGCCUUUUGCAGUUGGCAGAUCGUGAUUUUGUCAAUGUCUAUUGUUUCUAAAUGCCGGCUGAGAUCUUUUGGCACAGCACCCAAUGCGCCGAUCAUCAUCAUCAUCAUCAUCAUCAUCAUCAUCAUUAUUAUUAUUAUAAUUAUAUUAUAUUAUGACACAGCAAACAAGAUAGAUAUGCUGGAUUUCGUUUCACAAAAUCACAAGUCGAACACUUCCCAAGUGUCUAGGACUGUGUGGUGUAUUUUCGGAUGAUGCGCGCAGAUCCCAGCAGGGUGGCCUUUUGCAGUUGGCAGAUCGUAAUUUUGUCAAUGUCUAUUGUUUCCAAAUGCCGGCUGAGAUCUUUUGGCACGGCACCCAAUGUGCCCAUUACCACCGGGACCACCUGUACUGGUUUCUGCCAGAGUCUUUGAAGUUCAAUCUUGAGGUCCUGAUAGCGGCUGAGUUUUUCCUGUUGUUUUUCGUCAAUGCGACUGUCACCUGGGAUGGCAACAUCAAUGAUCCAAACCUUUUUCUUUUCCACAACUGUGAUGUCUGGUGUGUUGUGUUCCAGAACUUUGUCAGUCUGGAUUCGAAAGUCCCGUAGUAUCUUUGCUUGCUCAUUUUCCAAUAAUUUUGCAGGUUUGUGAUCCCACCAGUUCUUUGCUGCUGGGAGGUGGUACUUGAGGCAUAAGUUCCAAUGAAUCAUUUGGGCCACAUAGUUGUGCCUCUGUUUGUAGUCUGUCUGUGCAAUUUUCUUACAGCAGCUGAGGAUAUGAUCAAUGGUUUCGUCGGUUUCCUUGCACAGUCUGCAUUUUGGCUAACAGUGGGAGCUCACCCCACUACCUGGAUUCUAACUGCGGACCUUUCAGUCAGCAAGUUCAGCAGCUCAGCAGUUUAACCAGCUGCACUACUGGGGACUCCCAGGACGAACCAACUAAUAAAAAGCUUUGAAGAGUUUAAAGAAGUCUUGCCUGAAUUAGCACCUUGCUUAUCUAGUUCUAUCUUGUGUUUCUUCUUAUUGUCGUUUUUCAUCUGUCUCUUGUAAAAAGAGCUCCAAUGUUAACAUACUAAUUGUGCUUCUCUCUAGCCUUCCUCUACACCUUCCAACUCCAAAAUGGAUGAUUCCAGGGGAAACAAUUCGGUCUGGUUUUGAGGUUCUGCCCCUGGGGAGGAUUCUUAAAGGGGCAGGGGAAGGGGAUGUCUUAAAGGGAAGGGGCUAACUUUGGAUCCCUCUAACAACAGCUGUUUACAGUACAGGCUUAAACCUUCCUAACUAGGGAAGAAAAUAGAGGAGGUUUCUGUGGGAACACGACAGUGCCUAUGCACCAACACUAGAUGCUGAUGAAGACAUCUGGGGGAAAAAUUACUAUCAGCUGGACACCAUCUUGUGGGAGAUAGCUAAGGAGGACAACAUCAUCCUCCUGGGUGAUUUUAAUGUGAGAGUUGGAUGAGACUUUGACCUGUGGUCAGGGACCAUAAGAAAAGAUGGGGUUGGAAACAACUCGAAUGGCAUCCUGCUUCUCACCAAAUGUGUGGAACACAAUCUUGUCCAGAAACAUAUGUAUUGUACCUCUAACAUAUUUGGGAUUUUGGAAUUCCUGAUGAAGCCUGUAGGAUGCUUUAUCAUAAGUAAAUUCUACUCUGGAGAGACUUAUUCCUGUGUGAAAGAUUAGAAGGAGCCACAAAGAUGACAUGUGGUAACCACUUUAUUUGGGUUGGCUGGUGGAUCCAAUGCAGUGGGUAUAUACACCCUGAAUUUUACUAUUGUUCAUCUUGCAUUUUUUGAAUGGAAACUUGCUCAUGCUGGACUCUAGUGGUUGUUGUUCUACCGUUUCCCCACUGAGGACUUGAAGCAGCUUACAAAAUAUAAAACACAUAUAGCUACAGAAUUUUACAUCAUACAAAAAUAACAAAAACAAUUAAAGCAUCUCCCCCACUUCAUGAAAGAAUAUAUAUAUUUAAAUAAAUCAAAAUGGAAAUAAUUAAUUUAAAAAUCUAUAUGGUGAAGUAUUUCAUUUUCACACAUCCUCUCCCACCGUUUCUGUGUCACCCGGGGCUCAUUUAUACCAGACAGUUAUUUUACCAGAUCUCAUAAACAGACUGUCCUGGACCAAGUAUCAAGAAUUGCAAUAGAAGAGAAGUAGCCACAUGUUUUGGUUACUUCUCUUCUAUUGCAAUUGGAGAGAAGGGGAUUAAUUCAUUAUAUGCCACUAUUACAUUAACCUUGGAGAAGAUAUUUGAGAGCAUCUACUUGGGCAUCCUUUGAAGUGUCCUGUUCAGAAUCAGGCUAAUAAUUCCACCAAUAAUGUACAUAGCUAUUUUCCAUGUUCUCUCUAUUUAUCCACAGAACAACCUGUAAGGCAGACCUGAGAGGUAGGGAGCGGUGAAAGCAACCAAGUAUGCUUUGUGAGCUGAGGGAUUUGAAUUGGGAUCUCCCUAUGCCAUGACCAGCAUUUUAAAUACUACAUAUGCUGCUUUCUUACAAUAGUUCCUAUAUGAAUAAGGUCAAGGCUGAAGCAUAGUGGUAGAGCUUAUUAUAUAGACAGUCAAUGAUACUGUCAUGCAAUGUAAAACAAACUCUCUAGAUAAAGAGAUCUGAAACAUGGUAGCCCUUACACUGGCUUUAAUAUCCCUGUUUUCAUCAAACCUAACUAGAACAGGCCAUGUAGCAGGUUACUGUAAGCAAAUUUGAAAAGGGGAACUGGACACCCUAAGAUCAGACUCAGAUGCUUUCUAACAAGGCUUGCCAGAACAGUCAGAAUGCUGUAAGAUUUCCAUCUUAGCAUCCCUUAGGGCCCCUCAUUAAAUAAGCUGAAGCAUUUUCAAGUGUCAUUUAGAGUAUAACAGCUGUCUAACUAUUUUUUAUAAACAAUUACAUUGUCCUAAUUGCUAAGUAUGCUAGAAGAACAUAUCCCUUCAGAAUAAAGAGAUUGCUAUAUUUAUUAUAUGCUAUUAAAAUCCCUAGAACACUGCUUAAAACACACAGUUGUGGGCAGUAGCAUCUUGAAUACAGUAUAUCCAAAAUCAAGUCCUUCAGACUUGUGCUGUCAUUUUUUCUCCUCUUAACCAUUCAGAAACUGAAACAUGUUUCCUCCUUUGGAAAUAAUGUCUCUAUGUCUAUCCCUGAUUCAUAUAAUGAACAAAUUGCUGUUAGAAGUAGAUAGUCUCCUGUAUUUUCCUUAAUCUUUUGUUCCCAUCAUCCCUUCAGAGUGCAAAGAGAAAUGAAAAGUACAAGGGGUGACUUUAUUGCUAAGCUGGAGUAGAGAUAAUUCUCUGUAAGGAAAAAUGAGCAGUUAAUAGUGUUAAUUGAUGUGCUAAUAGUGUGAUUCUGGCCCCAUUCUUUAUUCUCUAGAGGUUUUUGAAAAUAUAAUUUUCACUGCAUUCAAAUCUGCAAGCAAAGAUGUUUGCUUCAUCUUCAUGCAGAGUGAGAAGUAAAUAUAAAGCCACCAGAACUAAAUGGAUCUUGAAUAAAACUGUAGCUAGGUAAAGAUUCUCAAGGGAAUUACCACAGAUUAUCAUAACAGCCAUUUAACUAGUGAUAGCUGG